rnacentral:rRNA from 1 species
CCUACGGGGAGCUGCAGUGAGGAAUAUUGGUCAAUGGCCGAGAGGCUGAACCAGCCAAGUCGCGUGAGGGAAGACGGCCCUACGGGUUGUAAACCUCUUUUGUCGGGGAGCAAAGCGAGUCACGUGUGACUCAUUGAGAGUACCCGAAGAAAAAGCAUCGGCUAACUCCGUGCCAGCAGCCGCGGUAAUACGGAGGAUGCGAGCGUUAUCCGGAUUUAUUGGGUUUAAAGGGUGCGCAGGCGGAGGUGCAAGUCAGCGGUCAAAUUGCGGGGCUCAACCCCGUAUUGCCGUUGAAACUGCAUGCCUUGAGUGCGCGAGAGGUAUGCGGAAUGCGUGGUGUAGCGGUGAAAUGCAUAGAGAUCACGCAGAACUCCGAUUGCGAAGGCAGCAUACCGGCGCGCAACUGACGCUCAUGCACGAAAGCGUGGGUAUCGAACAGGAUUAGAUACCCUAGUAGUC